UAAAAAUAAGACACUGAGAGACCCGCUACGUGUCAUGAUUCUAUUGCUGGUGUUUGUUUUGUUUUGUUUUUUUUUUGCAUUUCUUUCUCUAUCUGUUUCGAAACAAACGAGAGAAGAGAGAGAUAGGGAGAAGAAUCGAUUUUUCAUCAGUUGAUUCACAACCCAUCGAUUUCCAGUUAAAAAUGAUCUCUUCAAGUCUGGGCAACAUUCGAUUGAUUUCGGUAGCACAUCUCGGAGAGAAGGAGCAGUAGUGGAAAGAGGAAGCAGGAGACACAAGGAAAACAAAGAUGAGCCUGAAGCAGAUCGUGAGAGAGAUCAAUGAACCAUAUUUUUUUUCCAGGUAUGUUCUUGAGCAUUGGGUUUUAUAUGAGGGAAGUGGGAAAUUAUGGACACUGCUAGAUGGCUCGUAUGUUUAUGAGUUCUUCUCCAAAGCGGGCAAGGUUAGUGACUUUUUUCCUUUCUACAUUGUGUUUGAUUUCCCUUUCUGCUUGUGCUUGUUAAGGCCGUAGAAAGGUAUUAACAUUGCUCCAUGACUGUCAUUGACCAUUGAUCAGAAUAUAUGAAGUUCUUGUCUCUAACAGUAGUAUAUGAAAUGGCUAGUUUGCUUCCAAUUAUUUAGUAAUGUUGGCUACUUUGUCUGUGAUAGAAACACUUUGGUGAACUCGAUCCUUGCAUAUUUAGUCAAAUACAAGAAACACGUAGUGUUUAAUAGGUUGUGCCAUUUUUUAUAACGAAUUUCUGUUAUAUUUGCUCUUUGAUUUUGUGAUAUCUCUUCUCUUGGGUUCUAUUUUGUCUAUGUCUUAUUGUUAUCUGUUCCUUAUUAUUUCAGGUGAGGGAUGUGCUAUCUCUUCUCUUAUUGUCUCUGUUCUUAUUGCUAUCUGUCUCUUUAUAUCUCUGUUUCAUUCAAUGAAAUUGAUAUCUCUUGAUGAGUUAUGGGUUUUGUUAUUCUUACUCUUCUUUUUCAGGUUUACAAUUAUGGUUAGGUUAAGCGGUCUCGUUAUCCUCUCCAUUCAUUCAUUCAUCACGAAAAAGUGUUACUACAGUUAAAACAUGAAGAUAUUCAAAAUCUGUAAAAGAUAAAGCCAUGAUUAACAUCUUUGAAUAAGAUUCCUCUCAGAUUGCUCAACAAUCUGCAGUUUCAGGGACCCUACUACUUGCCAUUAUUAACGUUUUUAAAGACUUGUCUUGAUUCUUGCCAAUAAUAGUGCCGCUAAACUUUCAGGUUCCUAGACCGCUUAUGACAGAGAAUUGUAUCACCAACGUUCAAGUUUUUGACUCAAAGGAAACACUACCAUAUGCUAUCUCCAGAAUCUCUGUUCAGAUGGGAUGCAAAAGCUGUAUUAGUACUUGGAGUCCUUGCUGCAACAUUUGGAGGACUAUUGCUACCAGUUCAUCUAGCCUUCUUAGAUAAUGUUUUUAUA